GAUGAAGAACGUAGCGAAAUGCGAUAAGUAAUGUGAAUUGCAGAAUUCAGUGAAUCAUCGAAUCUUUGAACGUACAUUGCGCCCGUCAGUAUUCUGGCGGGCAUGCCUGUUCGAGCGUCAUUACGCCCCUCAAGUCCCCUGUGGACUUGGUGUUGGGGAUCGGCGAGGCUGGUUUUCCAGCACAGCCGUCCCUUAAAUUAAUUGGCGGUCUCGCCGUGGCCCUCCUCUGCGCAGUAGUAAAACACUCGCAACAGGAGCCCGGCGCGGUCCACUGCCGUAAAACCCCCCAACUUUUUAUAGUUGACCUCGAAUCAGGUAGGACUACCCGCUGAACUUAAGCAUAUAAUAAGCGGAGGA
rnacentral:misc_RNA from 1 species